rnacentral:rRNA from 1 species
CGGGGUGAGUAAUGUAUGGGGAUCUGCCUGAUGGCGGGGGGUAACUACUGGAAACGGUAGCUAAUACCGCAUAAUGUCUACGGACCAAAGCGGGGGACCUCCGGGCCUCGCGCCAUCAGAUGAACCCAUAUGGGAUUAGCUUGUAGGUAAGGUAACGGCUUACCUAGGCGACGAUCCCUAGCUGGUCUGAGAGGAUGAUCAGCCACACUGGGACUGAGACACGGCCCAG